rnacentral:rRNA from 1 species
AUAUCAAUAAGCGGGGAAAAGAAACUAACAAGGAUUCCCCUAGUAACUGCGAGUGAAGCGGGAAAAGCUCAAAUUUAAAAUCUGGCGGUCUUUGGCCGUCCGAGUUGUAAUCUAGAGAAGUGUUAUCCGCGCUGGACCGUGUACAAGUCUCCUGGAAUGGAGCGUCAUAGAGGGUGAGAAUCCCGUCUUUGACACGGACUGCCAGGGCUUUGUGAUGCGCUCUCAAAGAGUCGAGUUGUUUGGGAAUGCAGCUCAAAAUGGGUGGUAAAUUCCAUCUAAAGCUAAAUAUUGGCGAGAGACCGAUAGCGAACAAGUACCGUGAGGGAAAGAUGAAAAGAACUUUGGAAAGAGAGUUAAACAGUACGUGAAAUUGCUGAAAGGGAAACGCUUGAAGUCAGUCGCGUUGGCCGGGGAUCAACCUUUGCUUUUGCUGGGUGCACUUUCCGGUCGACGGGUCAGCAUCAAUUUUGAGCGUCGGAUAAAGUCCAGGGGAAAGUAGCAUCUUCGGAUGUGUUAUAGCCUUUGGUCGCAUACGACGGUUGGGAUUGAGGAACUCAGCACGCCGCAAGGCCGGGUACUUUGGUGCCACGUUCGUGCUUAGGAUGCUGGCAUAAUGGCUUUAAUCGACCCGUCUUGAAACACGGACCAAGGAGUCUAACAUGCCUGCGAGUGUUUGGGUGGAAAACCCGGACGCACAAUGAAAGUGAAAGUUGAGAUCCCUGUCGUGGGGAGCAUCGACGCCCGGACCAGAUCUUUUGCGACGGAUCCGCGGUAGAGCAUGUAUGUUGGGACCCGAAAGAUGGUGAACUAUGCCUGAAUAGGGUGAAGCCAGAGGAAACUCUGGUGGAGGCUCGUAGCGAUUCUGACGUGCAAAUCGAUCGUCAAAUUUCGGGUAUGGGGCGAAAGACUAAUCGA